GUGCUCUCUUCAGCAGCACACCUAGUAACAUUGAAAUGACAUAGAGAUUAGCCUAGACCCUGAGCAAGGAUGACACACAAAUUUAUGAAGCAUCCCCUAUUUUU